rnacentral:rRNA from 1 species
UACCAGCACCCCGAGUGGUCGGGACGUUUUAUUGGGCCUAAAGCAUCCGUAGCCGGUUCUACAAGUCUUCCGUUAAAUCCAACUGCUUAACAGGUGGGCUGCGGAAGAUACUAUAGAGCUAGGAGGCGGGAGAGGCAAGCGGUACUCGAUGGGUAGGGGUAAAAUCCGUUGAUCCAUUGAAGACCACCAGUGGCGAAGGCGGCUUGCCAGAACGCGCUCGACGGUGAGGGAUGAAAGCUGGGGGAGCAAACCGGA